UACAGAGGGUGCAAGCGUUAAUCGGAAUCACUGGGCUUAAAGCGUUCGUAGGCGGGCUUGCAGGCGCGUUGUGAAAGCCCCCGGCUCAACCGGGGAACUGCUUCGCGAACCGUAAGUCUUGAGUCAAGUAGGGGCGGUCGGAACGAUAGGUGGAGCGGUGAAAUGCGUAGAUAUCUAUCGGAACGCCAAAGGUGAAGACAGGCCGCUGGGCUUGUACUGACGCUGAGGAACGAAAGCGUGGGGAGCAAACGGG
rnacentral:rRNA from 1 species